AUGCUGACUCAGUCACCCACAGCCUCAGCCUCCCUGGGAGCCUCAGUCAAACUCACCUGCACCUUGAGUAGUGACUACAGCACCAACACCAUUUAUUGGUACCAGCAACAUUCAGACAAGGCUCCUAAGUAUCUGAUGUAUGUUAACAGUAAUGGAUAUCAUAACAAGGGAGAUGGGAUCCCUGAUUGCUUCUCUGGCCCCGGCUCUGGGACUCACCGCUACUUAAGCAUCUUCAACAUCCAGUCUGAAGAUGAAGCUGACUAUUUCUGUGGUUUAGCUUAUAGCACUGGAGUACAAAAUGGGUGA